rnacentral:misc_RNA from 1 species
GAUGAAGAACGUAGCGAAAUGCGAUAAGUAAUGUGAAUUGCAGAAUUCAGUGAAUCAUCGAAUCUUUGAACGCCCAUUGCGCCCGCCAGUAUUCUGGCGGGCAUGCCUGUUCGAGCGUCAUUUCAACCAUCAAGCCCCCGGCUUGUGUUGGGGACCUGCGGCUGCCGCAGGCCCUGAAAACCAGUGGCGGGCUCGCUAGUCACUCCGAGCGUAGUAAUACAUCUCGCUCAGGGCGUGCUGCGGGUUCCGGCCGUUAAAAAGCCUUAUUUACCCAAGGUUGACCUCGGAUCAGGUAGGAAGACCCGCUGAACUUAAGCAUAUCAAUAAGCGGAGGA